rnacentral:rRNA from 1 species
UACGGGGGGAGCAAGCGUUGUUCGGAUUUACUGGGCGUAAAGGGCGCGUAGGCGGCGCAAUAAGUCAUUUGUGAAAUCUCCGGGCUUAACUCGGAAAGGUCAAGUGAUACUGUUGUGCUAGAGUGCGGAAGAGGCAACUGGAAUUCUCGGUGUAGCGGUGAAAUGCGUAGAUAUCGUGAGGAACACCUGCGGCGAAGGCGGGUUGCUGGGCCGUCACUGACGCUGAUGCGCGAAAGCCAGGGGAGCAAACGGG